rnacentral:rRNA from 1 species
CCCAGACUCCUACGGGAGGCAGCAGUGGGGAAUAUUGCACAAUGGGGGAAACCCUGAUGCAGCGACGCCGCGUGAGUGAAGAAGUAUUUCGGUAUGUAAAGCUCUAUCAGCAGGGAAGAAAAUGACGGUACCUGAUUAAGAAGCCCCGGCUAACUACGUGCCAGCAGCCGCGGUAAUACGUAGGGGGCAAGCGUUAUCCGGAUUUACUGGGUGUAAAGGGAGCGUAGACGGCAGCGCAAGUCUGAAGUGAAAUGCCGGGGCUUAACCCCGGAACUGCUUUGGAAACUGUGCAGCUAGAGUGCAGGAGAGGUAAGUGGAAUUCCUAGUGUAGCGGUGAAAUGCAUAGAUAUUAGGAGGAACACCAGUGGCGAAGGCGGCUUACUGGACUGUAACUGACGUUGAGGCCCGAAAGCGUGGGGAGCAAACAGGAUUAGAUACCCUUGUA